rnacentral:rRNA from 1 species
UACGUAGGGUGCAAGCGUUGUCCGGAAUUAUUGGGCGUAAAGAGCUCGUAGGCGGUUUGUCGCGUCUGCUGUGAAAACUCGGGGCUUAACCCCGGGCCUGCAGUGGGUACGGGCAGACUAGAGUGCGGUAGGGGAGACUGGAAUUCCUGGCGUAGCGGUGAAAUGCGCAGAUAUCAGGAGGAACACCGGUGGCGAAGGCGGGUCUCUGGGCCGUAACUGACGCUGAGGAGCGAAAGCAUGGGGAGCGAACAGG